CCUACGGGAGGCAGCAGUGAGGAAUCUUGCGCAAUGGGGGCAACCCUGACGCAGCGACGCCGCGUGGGCGAUGAAGGCCUUCGGGUCGUAAAGCCCUUUUCUGGGGGACGAGCAAGGACGGUACCCCAGGAAUCAGCGCCGGCGAACUACGUGCCAGCAGCCGCGGUAAAACGUAGGGCGCGAGCGUUAUCCGGAUUCACUGGGCGUAAAGCGCGUUGAGGCGGCUCCGUAAGUUGGGCGUGAAAGCCCCGGGCUUAACCCGGGGAGGCCGUCCAAUACGGCGGGGCUUGAGGGCAGCAGAGGGAGGUGGAAUUCCCGGUGUAGUGGUGAAAUGCGUAGAUAUCGGGAGGAACACCCGUGGCGAAGGCG
rnacentral:rRNA from 1 species